AGAACUUUGAAAAGAGAGUUAAACAGUACGUGAAAUUGUUGAAAGGGAAACGAUUGAAGUCAGUCAUACCAACGGGAAAUCAACCUCUUGAGUUUGGUCUUGUGGGUUCCGAAAAGUU
rnacentral:rRNA from 1 species